UUAUGUUUCCAACGUGUCGCAAAACAAGAAGAUACGAUUCUGCAACAUAAUCAACUCCCUAUUCUUUAAUGAAGAUCCUUUUUUUAAAUUUCACCCUUUUCCUUCCCAAGGAGCUCUCUAUUAAGAUGAUAAAUCCUCAGCAAGCUGAUAUUUUCCACACCACAAUAAGUAGUUAAAAAGGAGCCUGGAGCCGAAGAGCUGGCUCUGAAGUUCCUUCCGUAUUUAAGUUGCCUCAGA
rnacentral:lncRNA from 1 species